CAGUUCCUACGGGGCGCAGCAGUGAGGAAUAUUGGUCAAUGGGCGCGAGCCUGAACCAGCCAAGUCGCGUGAGGGAAGACGGUCCUAUGGAUUGUAAACCUCUUUUGUCGGGGAGCAAAAGACGCCACGUGUGGCGUUCCGAGAGUAUCCGAAGAAAAAGCAUCGGCUAACUCCGUGCCAGCAGCAGGGGUAAUACGGAGGAUGCGAGCGUUAUCCGGAUUUAUUGGGUUUAAAGGGUGCGCAGGCGGAAGAUCAAGUCAGCGGUAAAAUUGGGAGGUUCAACCGCUUCGAGCCGUUGAAACUGG
rnacentral:rRNA from 1 species